UACGUAGGGUGCAAGCGUUAAUCGGAAUUACUGGGCGUAAAGCGUGCGCAGGCGGUCUUGCAAGACAGAUGUGAAAUCCCCGGGCUCAACCUGGGAACUGCAUUUGUGACUGCAUGGCUAGAGUGCGGCAGAGGGGGAUGGAAUUCCGCGUGUAGCAGUGAAAUGCGUAGAUAUGCGGAGGAACACCGAUGGCGAAGGCAAUCCCCUGGGCCUGCACUGACGCUCAUGCACGAAAGCGUGGGGAGCAAACAGG
rnacentral:rRNA from 1 species